AAUUCUCUUAAAUUAUUAUAUAAUUUAUUUAAAAGAACAAAACGUUUUGAGAAUAGGCUUAAGAAUCACAUUCUGAUGAGCUAAAUAUAGGCCCCAAAGAAUCACAUCAUCGAAUCAAUUAAUUAAAUAUUGCCUCCAUCACAUCUUCUCCCACUAUAUAAAGGUGGGCAAGCAUGUCAUUAUUGUUUGCAAGUCAGACAGAUUACAUACAGAAGAAGGUCAUACUUGAUUAAGGAGAAUAAUAUACUCAAAAGAUGGCAGCACUCAAGAAUAUGCAGCAACAAAGGUGAUGUUCAGUAACAAUGUUCAAGCUACGCUGAGUGUUAAGCUCAUCAACGGCGAUGGAGAAGAUCCUGCACAAGUUUACGGAAGCAUAACUGGUCGCUUUGGAAUCAGUAACCAAUUUUCACUGUUUAAUAGGCCUCAAAAGUCAACGCAUUGACGUGAGGCCAGGGGAAUUCAUUCCCUUAAGCCAGCCGAGUGUGAAUGUGCCUGAAGCCGCCGAUGCAAUGGAGAUUACAGCAUACUUGAUGGAUUAUGAUACUCUUUCUCCCGACGAUGAAAUUGCAAACGGUACCGUUACGUUUCUAGUCAGAGGACCUGGUGUGGAAGAGAAGCAACCCAUCAACGGAAAGUAUGGCUCCAUCGAAGUUAACGUCACUUGGGGUUGAGCUUGUGUUGCUCAACUAAUAUAAUGCUGGUGCGGUCUUGAAUUACUAGCAAGCUAGCUAAUAUAGCUAAAUAAAACUGCCUUGCACUAGUGCUUACGUUUCCUAUGCGUUCAUGUACUACUUCAAUGUUAUUAUCUUAAUAAUACUUCGUAAUUUCAUAUGUUUUUACCUACUAAA